rnacentral:rRNA from 1 species
UUCCCCUAGUAACGGCGAGUGAACCGGGAAGAGCUCAAAUUUGAAAUCUGGCGUCCUCAGGGCGUCCGAGUUGUAAUCUAUAGAGGCGUUUUCCGCGCCGGACCGUGUAUAAGUCUCCUGGAACGGAGUAUCAAAGAGGGUGACAAUCCCGUGCUUUACACGACGACCGGUGCUAUGUGAUACGUCUUCUACGAGUCGAGUUGUUUGGGAAUGCAGCUCAAAACGGGUGGUAAACUCCAUCUAAAGCUAAAUAUUGGUGGGAGACCGAUAGCGAACAAGUACCGUGAGGGAAAGAUGAAAAGCACUUUGGAAAGAGAGUUAAACAGUAUGUGAAAUUGUUGAAAGGGAAACGAUUGAAGUCAGUCGUGUCCAUUGGGUUCAGCCGGUCCUGCCGGUCUACUCCCUUUGGACGGGUCAACAUCAGUUCUGACCGGCGGAUAAUGGCACGAGGAACGUGGCACCCUCCGGGGUGUGUUAUAGCCUCGCGUCGCAUACGCUGGUCGGGACUGAGGAACGCAGCUCGCCCUCACGGGCCGGGGUUCGCCCACGUCCGAGCUUAGGAUGUUGACAUAAUGGCUUUAAACGACCCGUCUUGAAACACGGACCA